rnacentral:rRNA from 1 species
GACGAACGCUGGCGGCGUGCCUAAUACAUGCAAGUUGAGCGCUGAAGGUUGGUACUUGUACCAACUGGAUGAGCAGCGAACGGGUGAGUAACGCGUGGGGAAUCUGCCUUUGAGCGGGGGACAACAUUUGGAAACGAAUGCCAAUACCGCAUAAAAACUUUAAACACAAGUUUUAAGUUUGAAAGAUGCAAUUGCAUCACUCAAAGAUGAUCCCGCGCUGUAUUAGCUAGUUGGUGAGGUAAAGGCUCACCAAGGCGAUGAUACAUAGCCGACCUGAGAGGGUGAUCGGCCACAUUGGGACUGAGACACGGCCCAAACUCCUACGGGAGGCAGCAGUAGGGAAUCUUCGGCAAUGGACGAAAGUCUGACCGAGCAACGCCGCGUGAGUGAAGAAGGUUUUCGGAUCGUAAAACUCUGUUGGUAGAGAAGAACGUUGGUGAGAGUGGAAAGCUCAUCAAGUGACGGUAACUACCCAGAAAGGGACGGCUAACUACGUG